rnacentral:rRNA from 1 species
UACCAGCUCUCCGAGUAGUAGGGAUGAUUAUUGGGCUUAAAGCGUCCGUAGCCGGCUUGGCGAGUCUCCUGUUAAAUUCAGCGACCUAAUCGUUGACCCGCGGGAGAUACUACUAGGCUAGGAGGCGGGAGAGGCCGACGGUACUUCCGGGGUAGGGGUGAAAUCCUAUAAUCCCGGGAGGACCACCAGUGGCGAAGGCUGUCGGCUAGAACGCGCUCGACGGUGAGGGACGAAAGCUGGGGGAGCGAACCGGAUUAGAUACCCGGGUAGUCCCAGCUGUAAACGAUGCGAGCUAGGUGUUGGGGUGGCUACGUGCCACUUCAGUGCCGCAGGGAAGCCAUUAAGCUCGCCGCCUGGGGAGUACGGCCGCAAGGCUGAAACUUAAAGGGAUUGGCGGGGGAGCACCACAAGGCGUGAAGCUUGCGGUUC